AACGAUACCGACCAGACAAAGUCGCACAUCAAAUACGCAACCACGUUCACCGCAAACAUUGUAAAGGGGGUUCUUUGCCGGAUAUGGAAAUAUACCCUUUUGCAAACCUC
rnacentral:rRNA from 1 species